UUGAAUUGGCGCCGGGAAUAUAGUAUUCGCCUGCCUAGAAUUACAGCCGGGUCAAACUCGUUUCGCAAAAUAAUUAGCGCAUGCUUGGCACUUCCGCCGGGUCAAAUAUGAGUCAUUAAAUGACUCCCGCCUCCAGGUGGUAGAGGGCGCUAGUGAUCCUUCUUGCGACUACCAGUACUGCAGGAGACAGGUACUGCAGAAGAAGACAACAAGCAGCAAGCAUGCAGCAAUUGUUUGCUUGCACUUUUAACAUGGAGGAUUACAUAUCUAAAAUAAAACCGUUUUCUAAACUGGACUUUCAAUCGAAGCAGGAGGUAAUAAUUAAAGGAAUAUCUCCAGAGACUUUUAAAAUUGAAGAAAGAUGAGAAAGACUGCCUUUGAUCAGAAGCAGCUGCACAUGGACCCAUCUACAAGUAAAGGUGUCACCGGGAAGCGCUCCAACAUGCCCGACUCACCUGCGGACGUCAAGACACAGUCCAGGUUGACCCCCCCCACCAUGCCGCCCCCUCCCAGCACCCAAGGAGGCCCCCGUCACAUGUCCUACACGCCCACCACCUUGACCAACGGCAGCAGCCACUCGCCCACCGCCCUCAACGGAGCGCCGUCGCCGCCCAACGGCUACAGCAACGGGCCCGGCUCCUCCUCCUCGUCCUCGCUGGCCAAUCAGCAGCUGCCGCCGGCGUGCGGCGCCCGGCAGCUCAGCAAGCUGAAGCGCUUCCUCACCACGCUGCAGCAGUUCGGCAACGACAUUUCGCCGGAGAUCGGCGAGCGUGUGCGGACGCUGGUGUUGGGCCUGGUGAAUUCCACGCUGACCAUCGAGGAGUUCCACUCCAAGCUCCAAGAAGCCACCAACUUCCCGCUGAGACCUUUCGUCAUUCCCUUCCUGAAGGCCAACCUGCCUCUCCUGCAGAGGGAGCUCCUUCACUGCGCCCGACUGGCCAAGCAGAACCCGGCCCAGUACCUGGCCCAGCACGAGCAGCUGCUGCUGGACACCAGCACCACGUCCCCAGUGGACUCCUCCGAGCUGCUGCUGGACCUCAAUGACAACGGGAAGAGGCGGACUCCCGACAGAAGCAAAGAGAACGGCUUGGACCGCGACGGCGCCGCCACUGCCCCGCCACACCCGGACGUGCACCCGGGCAAGCGGCCCUGCACCGUCAGCCCCGCCCUGCGCUUCAGCCCGUCCAACGGCAUCCCCUACCAGCCGCACCCGGGCCCACUGCCACCACCGCCGCCGCCGCACUACCGCCUGGACGACAUGGCAGUCGCCCACCACUACCGCGACGCCUACCGCCACCCACCCUCCAAUCACAGAGAGAUCCGCGAGAGAGCCCGCCCCCUUGGUGUGCAUGGUGGGGGGAGACAGGAGGAGAUGAUCGACCACCGUCUGACAGAGAGAGAGUGGGCAGAGGAGUGGAAGCACCUUGACCAUGUAAGAAAACUGCUGAACUGCAUCAUGGACAUGGUGGAGAAGACCCGGCGCUCGCUGACCGUGCUGCGCCGCUGCCAGGAGGCCGACCGCGAGGAGCUCAACUACUGGAUACGCCGCUACAGCGACGCCGAGGAGCUGAAGAAGGGCGCCGGCGGAGGGCAGUCCAGGCAGCAGAGCCCGGCAGGGCAGGACAACACAGUGGCAGAAAUCCACAGGGAGCUUCUGCAGCGACCUGUGUCUGGCUAUGUCCCUGAAGAAAUCUGGAAGAAAGCUGGUGCGGCAGGACUGACUUCCUGUGUGUUUCCAGAGGAGGCGGUGAACGAGGUGAAGCGGCAGGCGGUGUCGGAGCUGCAGAAGGCGGUGUCGGAGGCGGAGCGUAAAGCACACGACAUGAUCAGCAGCGAGCGCGCCAAGAUGGAGCGCACCGUCGCCGAGGCCAAGCGGCAGGCGGCCGAGGACGCCAUGUCUGUCAUCAACCAGCAGGAGGACUCCAGCGAGAAAAGUACCGAAAUACUUUUGGUACCGGUACCGGUGCACUAGUACACACACACCGAGCACCCACUGGCAGAAAUGUAGAUGGGCGCCGAUGCAUGAGAAAAGCAGGAUCCGGUGGUACGGAGAGGCCAUCACCAACGGAGGCUUCCUCGACUGCGGCGGCUGUCCACAAGGUCUUCGGGGCUCUCAGAGCUCCACGCCGUUUGCCUUCACGACCGUUGGGACAGAGUGGAACUGGAGGUUUGGUGGCUGGUGUGUGCCAAGGAGCCACGUGCUGAGAGCCAAGUGGGGGCCAAAGUGGACAAACUACUGGGAAAAGCACCAGGUGUUCCCCCACCAGAGGCGCUCUCCACGCCGCUGGGCUCCUUCAGCUGCUCCACAGAGUUGUAGUGUUCUCCCAGUCCGUAGGCAUGACGCAUGUAGCUGCACAGGACAAUAUAUGACAUAAUUAUUAGAGCACAGGUGAAAAAAGAAGGCGGGACUCACUUCCAGCUGGCCGCCCCAAGCUGCCGUGUGCUGGACAUCAGCGCAGUACUUGUCAAACGCCUCUGGAAGACAACGUCCAUGAGCAGGAAUAUUCACCUGCACACCCGACAUGUGACCACACCUGCCGUGCACACGUCCCCCGUGUUGGCGUUGCUGAGGAAAGGCAGGAAGUCUUGGGCGUGGCUCCUCAUGUGCGCCGCCGUGCGACCCCGCAGCUCUUCCACGCUCAAUUCGGGCUGGAGGGCCAAAAGGUGGGCGUGGACAAGACGGCGGACACAGUCGGGCGGGGAAACGACUUACCUGGCGGCGCCGUGCCAGCUGGUCCCGCACGGCGCGGUACAUGCAGUGGCCGUCGGAGGAAAUCUCCUUGAUCUGAAGACCUCGCUGGGAGAGCUUAUGCGCCAGCUUGAGGCCCUCCUGGUGGCGGACGCCCUGCAGGUUCUGCACCUCGGCCUCGGCGAUCCUGCUCUCGCGCUCCUUCUCCUGGGCCGCCUUCUUGUCCUGGCGCAGCAACACCAACGUUAAGUAGUUCUUCCACACAUCUAAUCAAGUUCAAGUACCAAUGAUUGUCACACACACACUAGGUGUGGCGAAAUUAACCUCUGCAUUUGACCCGUCACCCUUAAUCACCCCCUAGGAGGUGAGGGGAGCAGUGAGCAGCAGCGGUGGCCGCGCCCGGAAAUCAUUUUUGGUGAUUUAACCCCCAAUUCUAACCCUUGAUGCUGAGUGCCAAGCA